GAAAAGGGAGGGAAAGAAGUGGUACUUCUAAACAAGAAAAGUACGAUCUACGAAGAUCCAACGGUCGGAUCUUCAAUCCGUUUUCGGAAACGUGAUCCUUGCACUCGGAUCUACGUUCUUACCGAUUGUUUUAAGGUAUUUGAACUUAUUGGAGUUACUUGAGGCUACCCAAACUUUGGGUUGAAGUUUGGAGAACUUGGUGGCACUUUGUGGAUUGAGCCUAGGACUUAUUAGUGUUGGUGUGCAAGCAGUCAGAUGAUGUCCAUUUGACUGCAGGUACACCUGACUUAGAGGAGGACCCCGUAGCUGCGUAUUUGGGAUAUUACGAUUGAAGCACACCGCGACAGUCGUAUUGAGUUGGACUAUGGAGUUCACUCUUUUGGGGUAUUUUGUAUAUGGCUGGUGACGUAGGUGUCACAUAUUUUUGUGUAGCCAUUCUUUUGUAUUAGUGGAAUUGUAGCCUUAAACAGUUAGACAGGUAUAUGGCUCUUUUGUAUGGACCACAUGUAUAUUUAGAUGUGCUUUCCGUUAUGAGAUGUAACGUUAUGAUUAUUCCGCUGUUAGAUAUUACUCUGAAUAUCAGGUACAUGAUAUGGAGCAUGUAUGUAUGUUGGCUGAGCGACACGUAGUCGUGCCACUGUGA